GCUGGCGGCAGGCUACACUGCGGUGAAGCGCGCCUUCGGGUGAGCCGCGGACGGGAUAGUAACGCGUGGGAACGUGCCCUUCUCUACGGAAUAGCCUCUGGAAACGGAGAGUAAUACCGUAUACGCCCUUUGGGGGAAAGAUUUAUCGGAGAAGGAUCGGCCCGCGUUAGAUUAGGUAGUUGGUGGGGUAACGGCCUACCAAGCCUACGAUCUAUAGCUGGUUUUAGAGGAUGAUCAGCAACACUGGGACUGAGACACGGCCCAGACUCCUACGGGAGGCAGCAGUGGGGAAUCUUAGACAAUGGGGGCAACCCUGAUCUAGCCAUGCCGCGUGAGUGAUGAAGGCCUUAGGGUCGUAAAGCUCUUUCGCCUGUGAUGAUAAUGACAGUAGCAGGUAAAGAAACCCCGGCUAACUCCGUGCCAGCAGCCGCGGUAAUACGGAGGGGGUUAGCGUUGUUCGGAAUUACUGGGCGUAAAGCGCGCGUAGGCGGAUUAGAAAGUUGGGGGUGAAAUCCCGGGGCUCAACCCCGGAACUGCCUCCAAAACUGCUAGUCUAGAGUUCGAGAGAGGUGAGUGGAUUCCGAGUGUAAGGUGAAAUCGUAGAUAUCGGAGGAACACAUGGCGAAGCGGUCAUGGUCGAUACUGAGCUAGGUGCAAAUGUGGGGACAACAG
rnacentral:rRNA from 1 species